UACGUAGGGGGCUAGCGUUGUCCGGAAUCAUUGGGCGUAAAGAGCGUGUGAGGCGGCCCGGUAAGUCCGCUGUGAAAGUCGGGGGCUCAACCCUCGAAUGCCGGUGGAUACUGUCGGGCUAGAGUGCGGAAGAGGCGAGUGGAAUUCCUGGUGUAGCGGUGAAAUGCGCAGAUAUCAGGAGGAACACCAAUUGCGAAGGCAGCUCGCUGGGACGUAACUGACGCUGAGACGCGAAAGCGUGGGGAGCAAACAGG
rnacentral:rRNA from 1 species